GCUACCAUGCAGUCGGACGGUAGCACAGAGAACUUGGUCUCGUGUGACACGAGGGGGACAGGUGAGUAAAGUGUGGGGAUCUGCCCCAUAUAGGGGGAGAUCCCCAGGGAACGGUGGGGAAAACCCCACAACGUCUCACGACCCCAAAGGGGGAGCUUCUCGCCUCUCACUAUCUGAUGAGCCCCCAUGGGAUUUUCUCUUAUGCGGGGUAAUGGGCCCCCUCUGCGACAAUACCUCUCUGGGCUGAGAGGAGGACCCCCCCCACUGUGACUGAGACACGGUCCCCACACCUACAGGAGGCGCCACUGGGGAAUAUUGCGCAAUGGGCGCACGCCUGAUGCGCCCCUGCCCCGUGUGUGAAAAAAGCGUUCUGGUUGUAAAGUACUUUUUCCGCGGAGAAAAGCGAUACGGUUAAUAACCCCGUCUAUAGAGAUUACCCCCACAAAAAACACCGGCUAACUCCCUGCCCCAACCCCCGGUAAUACAGAGGGGGCGCGCGUUAAUCUCAAUUACUGGGCGUAAAGCGCACGCGCGCGGUCUGUGAAGUCUCAUAUGAAAACUCCGGGCUUUACAUGGGAACUGCGUUUGAGACAGUGAGGCGUGAGUCUCGUGUAGAGGGGUAUAAAUCUACGUGUGUCGCUGAGAUGUGUAUAGAUCUCGAGGAGUACAGGUGGCGAAAGCGGCCCCCUGUACAAAGACAGAGACUCUCGUGCGCAAACGCGUGGAGCACACACGAGUAUAUACACUGGGAGUCUACGCCGUAUACGAUAUCUACAUGUAGGUUGU
rnacentral:rRNA from 1 species